UACGGGGGGGGUAAGCGUUGUUCGGAAUUACUGGGCGUAAAGGGCUCGUAGGCGGCCAACUAAGUCAGACGUGAAAUCCCUCGGCUUAACCGGGGAACUGCGUCCGAUACUGGAUGGCUUGAGGUUGGGAGAGGGAUGCGGAAUUCCAGGUGUAGCGGUGAAAUGCGUAGAUAUCUGGAGGAACACCGGUGGCGAAGGCGGCAUCCUGGACCAAUUCUGACGCUGAGUGAGCGAAAGCCAGGGGAGCAAACGGG
rnacentral:rRNA from 1 species